UGUAGGGAACAGGGCGUAGGGAAUAGGGUGUAGGGAACAGGGUGUAGGGAAUUGGGUGUAGGGAAUAGGGUG